rnacentral:rRNA from 1 species
CCUACGGGAGGCAGCAGUGAGGAAUAUUGGUCAAUGGGCGAGAGCCUGAACCAGCCAAGUCGCGUGAGGGAGUACUGCCCUAUGGGUUGUAAACCUCUUUUGUCGGGGAGCAAAAGCCGGACGUGUCCGGCUGUGAGAGUACCCGAAGAAACAGCAUCGGCUAACUCCGUGCCAGCAGCCGCGGUAUUACGGGGGAUGCGAGGGUUAUCCGGAUUUAUUGGGGUGAAAGGGUGCGUAGGCGGUUUUUUAAGUCAGCGGUAAAAUCGUGGGGCUCAACCCCAUCCAGCCGUUGAAACUGGGGAUCUUGAGUGUGCGAGAGGUAUGCGGAAUGCGUGGUGUAGCGGUGAAAUGCAUAGAUAUCACGCAGAACCCCGAUUGCGAAGGCAGCAUACCGGUGCACAACUGACGCUCAGGCACGAAAGCGUGGGUAUCGAACAGGAUUAGAUACCCCGGUAGUC